CGCGCGAUACAGGGUGACAGCCCCGUACACAAAAGCGCAUGUGCUGUGAGCUCGAUGAGUAGGGCGGGACACGUGGUAUCCUGUCUGAAUAUGGGGGGACCAUCCUCCAAGGCUAAAUACUCCUGACUGACCGAUAGUGAACCAGUACCGUGAGGGAAAGGCGAAAAGAACCCCGGCGAGGGGAGUGAAAAAGAACCUGAAACCGUGUACGUACAAGCAGUGGGAGCCCCACCACUAAGCCAGUGGUGAACUCCACAUACGCAUCCUUUGCUGAGGAUACGGUUAACGGAGCGAAAGCGACGUUCAACCUCAAAAGAAGCAGAGGGGGCUUAGUGGUGGGGUGACUGCGUACCUUUUGUAUAAUGGGUCAGCGACUUAUAUUCUGUAGCAAGGUUAACCGAAUAGGGGAGCCGAAGGGAAACCGAGUCUUAACCGGGCGUUAAGUUGCAGGGUAUAGACCCGAAACCCGGUGAUCUAGCCAUGGGCAGGUUGAAGGUUGGGUAACACUAACUGGAGGACCGAACCGACUAAUGUUGAAAAAUUAGCGGAUGACCUGUGGCUGGGGGUGAAAGGCCAAUCAAACCGGGAGAUAGCUGGUUCUCCCCGAAAGCUAUUUAGGUAGCGCCUCGUGAAUUCAUCUCCGGGGGUAGAGCACUGUUUCGGCUAGGGGGUCAUCCCGACUUACCAACCCGAUGCAAACUGCGAAUACCGGAGAAUGUUAUCACGGGAGACACACGGCGGGUGCUAACGUCCGUCGUGAAGAGGGAAACAACCCAGACCGCCAGCUAAGGUCCCAAAGUCAUGGUUAAGUGGGAAACGAUGUGGGAAGGCCCAGACAGCCAGGAUGUUGGCUUAGAAGCAGCCAUCAUUUAAAGAAAGCGUAAUAGCUCACUGGUCGAGUCGGCCUGCGCGGAAGAUGUAACGGGGCUAAACCAUGCACCGAAGCUGCGGCAGCGAACGUAUCACCCAAGACAACUUUACGGAGUUGGCGAUUGAUGGAGCGAAGCGACGUCAAAGCGUUCAUUAAAGUCGAGUUGGCUUAGGGAUACGUUCGUUGGGUAGGGGAGCGUUCUGUAAGCCUGUGAAGGUGGCCUGUGAGGGUUGCUGGAGGUAUCAGAAGUGCGAAUGCUGACAUAAGUAACGAUAAAGCGGGUGAAAAGCCCGCUCGCCGGAAGACCAAGGGUUCCUGUCCAACGUUAAUCGGGGCAGGGUGAGUCGACCCCUAAGGCGAGGCCGAAAGGCGUAGUCGAUGGGAAACGGGUUAAUAUUCCCGUACUUGGUGUUACUGCGAAGGGGGGACGGAGAAGGCUAUGUUGGCCGGGCGACGGUUGUCCCGGUUUAAGCGUGUAGGUGUGUGUUCCAGGUAAAUCCGGUUCACUUUAACACUGAGGCGUGAUGA
rnacentral:rRNA from 1 species